GAUGAACGCUAGCGGCAGGCCUAAUACAUGCAAGCCGAACGGCAAGUUUGAUAGCAAUAUUGGACCUAGAGUGGCGCAAGGGUGCGUAACACGUAUGCAACCUGCCCGCGACAGGAGGAUAGCUCCCCGAAAGGGGAAUUAACCCUCCAUAACACCAUGAGAGGGCAUUUGUUAUGGGUUAAACGCAAGGGGUUGCCGGAUGGGCAUGCGGUUGAUGAGUUAGUGGGCGGGGUAAAGGCCCACAAGGGCGGUGAUCAAUAGGGGUUCUGAGAGGAAGGUCCCCCACACUGGCACUGAGAUACGGGCCAGACUCCUACGGGAGGCAGCAGUAGGGAAUAUUGGACAAUGGUUGCAAGACUGAUCCAGCCAUGCCGCGUGCAGGAAGAAGGCCUUCUGGGUCGUAAACUGCUUUUUCCUGUGGAUAAAAUACCCGUGCGCGGGGAAUUGAAGGUAACAGGGGAAUAAGCCACGGCUAACUACGUG
rnacentral:rRNA from 1 species